CCUACGGGAGGCAGCAGUGAGGAAUAUUGGUCAAUGGCCGGAAGGCUGAACCAGCCAUGCCGCGUGAAGGUCAGUGCCCUUUGGGCGUUAAACUUCUUUUGUGCGGGAGCAAUAAUGGUCACGUGUGGCCAGACGAGAGUACCGUACGAAUAAGCAUCGGCUAACUCCGUGCCAGCAGCCGCGGUAAUACGGGGGAUGCAAGCGUUAUCCGGAUUUAUUGGGUUUAAAGGGUGCGUAGGCUGUGAGGUAAGUCAGCGGGGAAAUGCCCCCGCUCAACGGGGUGAAGUGCCAUUGAUACUGCCUUGCUGGAAUGCGGAUGCGGUGGGAGGAAGGUGUGGUGUAGCGGUGAAAUGCAUAGAUAUCACACAGAACACCGAUUGCGAAGGCAUCUCACGAAUCCGCGAUUGACGCUGAUGCACGAAAGCGUGGGUAUCAAACAGGAUUAGAUACCCGUGUAGUC
rnacentral:rRNA from 1 species